UGUCUGUGCCCUGAGAGCAUCACCGUACAACGCCAUCCUCUACCGGAGACCCUGAGACACAUCCCCUCACAAUGGACUGGAGCUGGAGAAUCCUCUACCUGGUGGCAGUGGCGACAGGUGUGCACUCCCAGGUUUUGCUGGUGCAGUCUGGGGCUGAAGUGAGGACGCCUGGGGCAUCAGUGAAGAUCUUCUGCAAAGCAUCUGGAUACGGCUUCACUGAUUACUAUAUGCACUGGGUGCGACAGUCUCCUGCACAAGGGCUUGAGUGGAUGGGAAGCAUUGACCCUGAAGAUGGUGCUACAAGCUACGCACAGAAGUUCCAGGGCAGACUCACUCUGACGGCAGACACAUCCACAAACACAGCCUACAUGGAGCUAAGCAGUCUGAGGUCUGCAGACACGGCCAUGUAUUACUGUGCAAGGACACAGUGAGGGGUUGUCAGUGUG